GUAGGUGAACCUGCGGAAGGAUCAUUAUUGAUUGGUCGAAAGACCUUAUCAGAUUCUACCACCUCUGUGAACCGUUGACCUCCGGGUUAAUAAUCAAACAUCAGUGUAACGAACGUAAGAGUAUCUUAAUUAAACAAAACUUUUAACAACGGAUCUCUUGGCUCUCGCAUCGAUGAAGAACGCAGCGAAAUGCGAUAAGUAAUGUGAAUUGCAGAAUUCAGUGAAUCAUCGAAUCUUUGAACGCACCUUGCGCCUUUUGGUAUUCCGAAAGGCAUGCCUGUUUCAGUGUCAUGAAAUCUCAAUCUAAUAUGUUUUCUGAACAUGUUAGGCUUGGACUUGGGUGUCUGCCAGCAAUGGCUCACCUCAAAUGACUUAGUGGAACAUCCCACAUCAGUGUUAGACGUAAUAAGUUUCGUCUCUCCUUGUGGUGAUGACUGCUCAAAACCUGCCAUCGCGUACCUUUUGGCUUUGACCUGAAAUCAGGUAGGGCUACCCGCUGAACUUAAGCAUAUCA
rnacentral:rRNA from 1 species